GUCGAGAGGGUUCGGCCCUCGGCAGACGGCUCAGUAACACGUGGAUAAUCUGCCCUUAGGUGGAGGAUAACCUCGGGAAACUGAGAAUAAUACUCCAUAGAUCUAGGAUGCUGGAAUGCAUCUAGGUUGAAAGUUCCGGCGCCUAAGGAUGAGUCUGCGGACUACCAGGCUGUAGCCAGGGUAAAGACCUGACUAACCUACGACGGAUACGGGUUGUGAGAGCAAUAACCCGGAGACGAUAUCUGAGACACGAUAUCGGGCCCUACGGGGCGCAGCAGGCGCGAAACCUUCACACUGUGCGAAAGCACGAUGAGGGGAUCCCAAGUGCUUGCACGUAAGUGUAAGCUGUUUCUGUGUCUAAAAAGCAUAGAGAGUAAGGGCUGGGUAAGACGGGUGCCAGCCGCCGCGGUAAUACCUGCAGCUCAAGUGGUGACCGCUAUUAUUGGGCCUAAAACGUUCGUAGCCGGUUUAGUAAAUGCCUGGGUAAAUCGUGUAGCUUAACUAUACGAAUUCCGGGUAGACUGCUAAACUUGAGACCGGGAGAGGCUAGAGGUACUUCUGGGGUAGAGGUGAAAUCCUGUAAUCCUAGGGGGACCACCAGUGGCGAAGGCGUCUAGCUAGAACGGGUCUGACGGUGAGGGACGAAGCCCUGGGGCACAAACCGGAUUAGAUACCCGGGUAGUCCAGGGUGUAAACGCUGCUUGCUUGAUGUUAGUCGGGCUCUGAGCCCGAUUAGU
rnacentral:rRNA from 1 species